rnacentral:rRNA from 1 species
UCGAACGAGAUUAUCCAGCUUGCUGGAUAUGAAAGUGGCGCACGGGUGCGUAACGCGUAUGCAACCUACCUUAAUCAGGGGGAUAGCCCGAAGAAAUUCGGAUUAACACCGCAUAAAAACACAGGAUAGCAUUAUCCAAUGUUCAAAUAUUUAUAGGAUUAAGAUGGGCAUGCGUGUCAUUAGCUAGUUGGCGGGGUAACGGCCCACCAAGGCGACGAUGACUAGGGGAUCUGAGAGGAUGACCCCCCACACUGGUACUGAGACACGGACCAGACUCCUACGGGAGGCAGCAGUAAGGAAUAUUGGUCAAUGGAGGGAACUCUGAACCAGCCAUGCCGCGUGCAGGAAGACGGCCCUCUGGGUUGUAAACUGCUUUUAUUCGGGAAUAAACCUAUUUACGUGUAAAUAGCUGAAUGUACCGAAGGAAUAAGGAUCGGCUAACUCCGUGCCAGCAGCGGG